GGAUUAGAUACCCUGGUAGUCCACGCCGUAAACGAUGUCGACUUGGAGGUUGUGCCCUUGAGGCGUGGCUUCCGGAGCUAACGCGUUAAGUCGACCGCCUGGGGAGUACGGCCGCAAGGUUAAAACUCAAAUGAAUUGACGGGGGCCCGCACAAGCGGUGGAGCAUGUGGUUUAAUUCGAUGCAACGCGAAGAACCUUACCUGGUCUUGACAUCCACAGAACUUUCCAGAGAUGGAUUGGUGCCUUCGGGAACUGUGAGACAGGUGCUGCAUGGCUGUCGUCAGCUCGUGUUGUGAAAUGUUGGGUUAAGUCCCGCAACGAGCGCAACCCUUAUCCUUUAUUGCCAGCGGUCCGGCCGGGAACUCAAAGGAGACUGCCAGUGAUAAACUGGAGGAAGGUGGGGAUGACGUCAAGUCAUCAUGGCCCUUACGACCAGGGCUACACACGUGCUACAAUGGCGCAUACAAAGAGAAGCGACCUCGCGAGAGCAAGCGGACCUCAUAAAGUGCGUCGUAGUCCGGAUUGGAGUCUGCAACUCGACUCCAUGAAGUCGGAAUCGCUAGUAAUCGUGGAUCAGAAUGCCACGGUGAAUACGUUCCCGGGCCUUGUACACACCGCCCGUCACACCAUGGGAGUGGGUUGCAAAAGAAGUAGGUAGCUUAACCUUCGGGAGGGCGCUUACCACUUUGUGAUUCAUGACUGGGGUGAAGUCGUAACAAGGUAACCGUAGGGGAACCUGCGGUUGGAUCACC
rnacentral:rRNA from 1 species